GGUGGUUCUCAGGUGACACACCCCAGAAUUGGGCUCCCUUCUCUCUGGUUCCGGGUGCAUCACCUGAGAACCACA
rfam:Myotis brandtii contig263155, whole genome shotgun sequence.